rnacentral:sRNA from 1 species
GGUGUGCUGAUUAUUGGGGGUGAAUUCCCCGA